CUGGGGUAGAGAGGCUUCUCAUUUCUGCUUUUGGGUUUACAUUCAAGUUUCUCACUAGUCAUCCAUUAAUAUACCUGUCUGGAAGGGGUAGGAAGGUUUCAUCACUGCAUCUUGCAUGGCAUCUACUAACACUAAGGAAUCCUGGAUUUGAAAGAAAAUGAAGAAUUCACUAAAGGUUCCCAUUUGUAGAUUUGAGAUGGCAGAAGAAAAUAAAAAUCACCAAACUUGAAGGCAAUUUUCAACCACUUGCAGUUAAACAAAGUCACAAGACUAGGUCUUGGCAACGGGAUAUGUGAGGAAGUGAUGUGAAUUCCUGGCCAAAGCAUAGAAGUGCAGAGGCAAGACCAUCCAGGUGACUCUUGCGAAGCAUCAGCUAUGGAGGCAAUGUGGUCCACGACACUUGUGACAGGAUUUCUGCACAAGAUGGUGCCUGAUGGGAAUCUUUACAAAGGACCUUGAAGCAGUCCCUGUGACAGCCCUAGAACAACAGAUAAAAAGUCUGACUACUCUGAGACCAUCAUACUGGAGAGGCCAAAAUAGGCUUUUUAGUUGACAGUGCCAGCCUUCCAGCCAUCCCUGCCAAGUCAUCAGGCAUGCAAGUAAAACCAUAUUGAAACCUAUAGACCAGCCAAUUCAUCAGCUGACUACACUACCAACUGACCUCAGUCAACACAGAACAGAAGAAUCACCCAGUGGGGUCCUGCUUGAAUUCUGCAUCUACAAAAUUGUGAACAAAAUAAAAUGAUUAUUGUUUUAAGCCACU
rnacentral:lncRNA from 1 species